rnacentral:rRNA from 1 species
AGCAGCCGCCACGGUAAUACGGAGGGGGCUAGCGUUGUUCGGAAUUACUGGGCGUAAAGCGCACGUAGGCGGCUUGGUAAGUUAGAGGUGAAAGCCUGGAGCUCAACUCCAGAAUUGCCUUUAAGACUGCCGAGCUAGCAGGUGAGAGAGGUAAGUGGAAUUCCGAGUGUAGAGGUGAAAUUCGUAGAUAUUCGGAAGAACACCAGUGGCGAAGGCGGCUUACUGGCUCAUACUGGACGCUGAGGUGCGAAAGCGUGGGGAGCAAACAGGAUUAGAUACCCCAGUAGUCCCUGUCUCUUAUAC